AAAGAUCAAGCCAUGCACUCACUUUAGUGUAGUAUUUGAUAACCAACAGAACUUUCCCCUUGUUCAAGGAGAGACGUCGGCAUUCCAAAAGAUGGUAAAGAGAUGGGAGAGCCUACAACAUAUAACAAAACCAAUCCACCAGUGAAAAACCAACCAGGUAGAGAGUUUAAAUAUUGUAUGGAGCGGCAGCCCAGCGGACACAACCAGGUAAGUUGACAGAGACAUUGACACAUAACAACAUGUUUUGUUUGACAACCAGGUAAUUUAAAGAUUGCCCACCUCUUCAUGUUCCUACGCAAGAUUCCUC
rnacentral:lncRNA from 1 species